rnacentral:rRNA from 1 species
GGUCAGAGACUAGCAGAGAUGCUUUGGUGCCUUCGGGACUCUGAGACAGGUGCUGCAUGGCUGUCGUCAGCUCGUGUUGUGAAAUGUUGGGUUAAGUCCCGCAACGAGCGCAACCCUUAUCCUUUGUUGCCAGCGGUUCGGCCGGGAACUCAAAGGAGACUGCCAGUGAUAAACUGGAGGAAGGUGGGGAUGACGUCAAGUCAUCAUGGCCCUUACGAGUAGGGCUACACACGUGCUACAAUGGCGCAUACAAAGAGAAGCGACCUCGCGAGAGCAAGCGGACCUCAUAAAGUGCGUCGUAGUCCGGAUUGGAGUCUGCAACUCGACUCCAUGAAGUCGGAAUCGCUAGUAAUCGUGGAUCAGAAUGCCACGGUGAAUACGUUCCCGGGUCUUGUACACACCGA